rnacentral:rRNA from 1 species
UGGGGAAUCUUGGGCAAUGGGGGCAACCCUGACCCAGCGACGCCGCGUGGGGGAAGAAGUCUCUUGGGAUGUAAACCCCUGUUGUACGGGACGAGCGAGGACGGUACCGUACGAGGAAGCCCCGGCAAACUACGUGCCAGCAGCCGCGGUAAUACGUAGGGGGCGAGCGUUGUCCGGAAUUACUGGGCGUAAAGCGCGCGCAGGCGGGUUUGUAGGUCGGUCGUGAAAUGGACGGGCUCAACCCGGGCAGGGCGGUCGAUACCGCGAGACUGGAGUAUGAGAGAGGGAAGCGGAAUUCCCGGUGUAGCGGUGAAAUGCGUAGAUAUCGGGAGGAACGCCGGUGACGAAGGUGGCUUCCUGGCUCAUGACUGACGCUGAGGCGCGAAAGCCGGGGGAGCGAACG